rfam:Picea glauca, whole genome shotgun sequence.
AAUGUAAUUCAUACAUCGUUAAUGCACUGGAUCCCAUUAGAAAUCCACAGCUAAGCACACUUGGGAUAGAGUAGUAUUGGUAUGGGUGACCUCACGGGAAGUGCUAGUGUUUUCCAUA